AAAAAAGAAAAAUUAAUUAGAAUACAUGUAUUAAGCAAUGGAGGUGAGGUGAUUGCCAUAUGAUACUGCCUUAAUGAGCUGUAGUUUCACACUAUUUCCUUCACAACCUCAAUGCAGUAAUUCAAUCUUAUUAUUUAUUCUCUCCUCUCUUUCCUUUACGAUUGUUGCCCAACAGGAAAAAAACUGGAGGAGAGAGUAAAAACAUAAAUGUUUUGAGGGUUUCUUUCUUUCUUCUCCUCUCCAUUGCCCACCUGAAUUCUUCUAAUAUCAUUCCUUAUAGUUUUGUUUUUGUUUUCUUUUGUUGGGUUUUCUCUUUGCAAUCUAUUGAAGCUCCAUUGACGCUUGUUCUAUGCAGUUCCUUUGAAGGCAACUGAUUUAAUUCACAAGCUUCAAGAUUUAAGGGUUUACACGCAAGCUUAUAAAGCUCCAGCUCCAAGGUUUGAGAAAGCCGUGAUUGCUUUCUCUGCAAUGCAUUUGUAACUCUAAAGACCUUAUUGGGCUAUCAACAUCGGUGGCCUUUUAAGGUGACUUGUGUAUUGCAAAUCUUUAAUCGCGUGUGAUUUAUAUACGCAAUUCUAUUACUUGUCUGAAGAUUAGGGUUUUUGAGUUGAAAGAGCAUUGAUUUCCUGGUCUCUUAUCUGGGUUUUUAAGUUUAAAGGGUAUGUUCUAAUGGGUCAUUGUUUGUUUCUUAACUGGUUAUAGGAUUUAGGUGUCUGGGGUCCAAAGGUAUUAGUACCUUGUGCUUUUUUAUUUGAUCGAAAUAUGAGUCGUAGGGUGCGGCGCAAAGUGGCAAAGAAGGGACAGGAGAAGGUGGUUUUGCCUAGUUUUCCUGAAAUUGAAGAUGAGGUUUCAUGUUCUGAUAGCAAUGAGGCUGUUGAUUGGACUAGCUUGCCUGAUGACACAGUAAUUCAACUAUUUUCCUGUCUGAAUUAUCGUGACCGUGCAAGCUUGUCAUCAACAUGUAGGACAUGGAGGGCUCUAGGCGUUUCCCCAUGCUUGUGGACAUCAUUAGAUCUCCGUGCCCACAAAUGUGAUGCUGCCAUGGCGGCGUCACUUGCUUCUAGAUGUGUAAAUCUUCAGAAGCUUAGGUUUCGUGGAGCAGAAUCAGCUGAUGCAAUAAUACAUCUCCAAGCUAGGAAUUUGCGUGAAAUAAGUGGUGAUUACUGUAGGAAAAUAACAGAUGCAACUCUUUCUGUGAUUGUGGCUCGGCAUGAGUUGCUUGAAAGCCUCCAACUUGGCCCUGACUUCUGUGAGAGGAUCAGCAGUGAUGCUAUAAGAGCAAUUGCUUUUUGCUGUCCUAAACUAAUGAAACUUCGGCUGUCCGGAAUUAGGGAUGUUUCUGCUGAUGCCAUUAAUGCCUUGGCCAAGCAUUGUCCGAAUUUGAUUGAUAUUGGGUUCUUGGACUGUCUUAAUGUUGAUGAGGUAGCAUUGGGAAACGUAGUAUCUGUUUGUUUCCUCUCAGUUGCUGGGACGUCAAAUAUGAAAUGGGGUGUGAUUUCACAUCUUUGGCAUAAGCUGCCUAAACUGAUUGGGUUAGAUGUUUCAAGAACUGAUAUUGGUCCAACAGCUGUUUCUAGGUUGCUAUCAUCAUCUCAUAGCUUGAAGGUUUUGUGUGCAUUGAAUUGUUCAGUUCUUGAAGAAGACACCACCUUCAGUGCAAAUAGGUACAAAGGCAAAUUAUUAAUUGCCCUUUUCACCGAUGUUUUUAAAGGACUAGCUUCUUUAUUUGCCGAUACUACAAAUUCAAAGAAAGGGAAAAAUGCGUUUUUAGAUUGGAGGAAUUCAAAGAACAAGCACAAAAACUUAGAUGAUAUCAUGACUUGGCUAGAAUGGAUCCUAUCUCAUACACUUCUGCGUACUGCUGAGAGCAAUCCACAAGGUCUGGAUGAUUUCUGGCUAAAGCAAGGUACAGCAAUAUUGCUUAGUUUAAUGCAGAGCUCACAGGAAGAUGUGCAAGAAAGGGCAGCAACAGGACUUGCAACUUUUGUGGUCAUUGAUGAUGAAAAUGCUAGCAUAGAUUGUGGAAGGGCUGAAGCAGUUAUGCGAGAUGGUGGUAUACGCCUCCUUCUAGACCUUGCCAAAUCCUGGAGGGAAGGUCUUCAGUCAGAGGCUGCUAAGGCUAUAGCAAACUUGUCCGUGAAUGCAAAUGUUGCAAAAGCUGUUGCAGAAGAAGGAGGAAUCAACAUUCUUGCUGGGUUGGCAAGGUCCAUGAACAGGCUGGUGGCUGAAGAGGCUGCUGGAGGACUUUGGAAUCUCUCAGUUGGAGAAGAGCACAAGGUUGAAAAUGCCAUGUGUUUUAUCAAAUCUAUUAUCAAAUGACAUAUGCUCUAUACUUCUAAUUGCAUUUGUUUGAAAACUAUUACCAGGGUGCCAUUGCUGAGGCUGGUGGAGUAAAAGCUUUAGUUGAUCUUAUAUUCAAAUGGUCCUCUGGCGGUGAUGGAGUUCUGGUCCGGUCUUUAAUAACCUGUGCAACAUUUUAGUCAUAUGAAAUACUUCAAUUGUGUGCAUUAUUUUUUUUCUUUUGCAUGCAAUUCUAGUAGCCAUUGUAUGAUAACUAAUUCUUGUGCUGGUUUCCAUUUGCAUGUUUUUCAGGAACGUGCGGCUGGUGCUUUGGCUAAUUUGGCAGCUGAUGACAAGUGUAGCAUGGAGGUUGCUCUGGCAGGUGGCGUGCAUGCUUUAGUGAUGCUUGCUCGUAACUGCAAGUUUGAGGGAGUGCAAGAGCAGGCUGCUCGUGCCUUAGCUAACUUGGCUGCUCAUGGAGACAGCAAUACUAACAAUGCUGCUGUUGGACAAGAGGCUGGUGCUCUUGAAGCACUUGUUCAACUUACACGUUCACCACAUGAAGGUGUCAGGCAGGAAGCUGCUGGUGCUUUGUGGAACUUAUCUUUUGAUGACAGGAAUCGAGAAGCAAUUGCAGUGGCUGGUGGUGUUGAGGCUUUGGUUGCUCUUGCUCAAUCCUGUUCAAAUGCCUCUCCUGGUCUACAAGAGAGGGCUGCUGGAGCUCUCUGGGGAUUGUCGGUGUCGGAAGCCAAUAGGUAUGUGCAAUUAGUUUUUUCUAUUUGUUUUUCCGUUUGUUAGAGAUCAUAAUAAAUCUUCUGAUUGCCUAGUUAAUAUAUUUUAUAUUUGCUUUAUUUAUUUGUUCAACCAAAGAAAUCCAGUUCCCUCCACCCCAUUGUGUGUAGAUUCUUCAAACCAGAGUGAUCUUCCUGGUGGAAGGCAGAGAUAAACAGUGGCUGCAUAAAGUGGGUGCCUGAGUGGUGUGGCCAAGAUUUUAAAUAAUGGAAUCAGAAUCAUAAACUGAUUGAAUUGGUCUGUUUCGGACCCAAUCGUCUGCCACCAUGAAUUUCUUUUAACCAUUAGCAAAAUGGCUAAAGUCAACAUUAAAUCAAGGAUUGAACUAAAUAUCACAGCAAUAUUGUAUAUCCAAUAAUUUAUAGUAGAAAAAGGAAAAGAUCAAAGACAAUUUGAAAAAAAAAAAAUACUCUAAAUAAAAAAUUUAAAUUAACUUUUCAAUAUAGGGCUGAAAGCAACCAUAUAAAAGAAACUCUAGUAUGUAUUAAGUUCAAAAAUAAAAAUUAAAACCCCAGCCCAUGUUAUAUAUAUUAGGUCUUUAAAAGGUAACUUUAAAAAGAGAAAGAAAAACACUCUCUUACCGUCACUCGUCCUCCCCUAGUGGUUGCAAAGGUUUAACAAUGAAAAAAAAAAACUUCUGGAAUUCUAUCAACAGUCUUGCCAUUAGACUAGGUACACCCCCUCCCCAAAUCCUCUCUCAUCCUUCUCUUCUCCUUGUUCUUCUUCUUCUUUCUUCUUCCCCUUUGUAUCAAUAGAACCAAAGACUCUCUCAAUUCUCCAAAAAAGUAGGAAUUUAUUUUUUUUAAUUGCAUCAGUCUUUGCCUAGUGCCUAAGGACAAACGACACUAAACAACAGAGAACAAGGCAAGAAUUUCUAAUUUUACACAGAUCUGUCAUAUGUCAUGUUGCUUAUCACCCAUUGCACCCAUCUCAGACUGAUACAGGACUGUUUCUCUGUGAUUUCUGAUUGGUACAUGAAACAACCGAUAUCAGAUCAGUCCCCUCAAAAUCUAUUACAUAUUGUGCAAUAUGUAAUAGAUUAGGAGUUGGUAACUGUCUCAGAGUCCUGAUGUGAACAAAUCUUUAGUUUUGGCAAAUAUCUCGAGAUUCUUAUCUUGUAAAGUGAUCUGAGUAUCGUGCGUAAGGUUGGGCGAGUAACCCCUUUUCCGAGUAUCCGAGUAUCCCAUGGUUACUCGGUUCGGGCAUCUGAGUAUCCCACGGUUACUUGUUACUGGGUACCCAUUUUGGUCUGUAGCAUCAAUGGAUGAUAACCAUGAGUAUGGCGCAUAUGGUUUGAGAAAAUGAAUUUGCAAGUAAUCCACAUGGCGUCUAACAAUUAACAUGAUUGUUUCAAGGAUGGAAGAUUAAUCCCUCCAAAAAAAAAUGUAAGAAAAAUGUCCAUCAUUUAAUUGAUCUUAAUUUGCUAACAUCUGAUCAUUAUAAAGCUAAAUAAGGUUGGCAUUCCUGCAUCAUCAAAAUGACACACCUGACAUCUGUACUUGUAUGACUGGUUCAAAUUAUUUUUGCCCUUUACAGACUGCUAAUUGCUUACAUAUUCUUGGUUUAUCUUCAAUCCUUGUGAUUUUUAUAUUAUUGUUGUUCUUGGCACAGUACUUGACUACGUGUAUAUGCAAAUACUGUAGGAAAAAGAUUUUGUUUUAUUAAUCAUGUUUGAGUAUAUGUGCUAAUGUUAUAUAUAUGCUUGUUGGCCUUUAUUAGCAUUGCCAUUGGACGAGAAGGAGGUGUUGCACCUCUAAUUGCUCUGGCACGAUCUGAGGCUGAGGAUGUCCAUGAAACUGCAGCAGGGGCACUUUGGAAUCUUGCUUUCAACCCAGGUAACGCUCUGCAGAUAGUAGAGGAAGGUGGAGUUCCGGCACUUGUGCAUCUAUGUUCUUCAUCAGUAUCAAAGAUGGCGCGCUUCAUGGCUGCAUUGGCAUUGGCAUACAUGUUUGAUGGAAGAAUGGAUGAAUUUGCAUUGAUAGGAACUUUGACAGAAAGCACUUCAAAGAGCAUGAGCUUAGAAGGGGCUAGAAGGAUGGCUUUGAAGCACAUUGAAGCUUUUGUCCUAACAUUUUCUGAUCAACAGACAUUUGCAGUUGCUGCUACAUCAUCAGCUCCAGCAGCAUUGGCACAAGUAACAGAGAGGGCUCGUAUUCCGGAAGCAGGACAACUCAGAUGCAGUGGAGCUGAAAUUGGACGAUUUGUUGCCAUGCUACGAAAUCCCUCUUCUAUACUCAAGGCUUGUGCUGCAUUUGCUCUUCUCCAGUUUACCAUUCCUGGAGGCCGGCAUGCUAUGCACCAUGCAAGUCUCAUGAAGAAUGUUGGAGCUGCACGAGUCGUUCGUGCUGCAGCUGCUGCAGCAACUGCACCACUUGAAGCCAAAAUUUUUGCAAGAAUUGUACUGCGUAACCUUGAGCGCCACCAGAUAGAACCUUCAAUAUGAAGGCAACUCUCAAACCUGCUUAGUCAUUGAUGGAGCCCCAUCCACAUAUAAAGCACUUCCUUUCUUAGUGAAGGUGAGAAUUCCUGUGUUUUGUAAUCUCAAUGUAGAGAGCCAACCAACGUGCUCAAGCAACAAUGCUCAAUGUAACUUCUUUCCCUUCUCUCCCCCUAUUUGUUAGGUAUGUAGAGGUGGUUUUUUGGUUUUGAGAAAUAUUUUUUUGUCUUCUUAUUGUAACAAUUCCUCGUCAUAUAUUAUAAGUACUUUUGGUGGGGGAUUGAUAUAGAAUAAUCAGUUGCCCCUUUUCUUCUAUUUUAUCUUUAUAUUCGUUGUGGCAUUCCUUCCUUAUAAUGAUAUCUGAAGCUGUUUGAGACUUAUCCAGGCUCCAC
rnacentral:misc_RNA from 1 species